GCUAAACGCGAAGAACCUUACCUGGCCUUGACAUCUGUCGAAUCCUGCAGAGAUGCGGGAGUGCCGCAAGGAACGACAAGACCGGUGCUGCAUGGCUGUCGUCAGCUCGUGUCGUGAGAUGUUGGGUUAAGUCCCGCAACGAGCGCAACCCUUGUCCCUAGUUGCCAGCACGUAAUGGUGGGAACUCUAGGGAGACUGCCGGUGACAAACCGGAGGAAGGUGGGGAUGACGUCAAGUCCUCAUGGCCCUUACGGCCAGGGCUACACACGUACUACAAUGGUCGGUACAGAGGGUUGCGAAGCCGCGAGGUGGAGCCAAUCCCAGAAAACCGAUCCCAGUCCGGAUCGGAGUCUGCAACUCGACUCCGUGAAGUCGGAAUCGCUAGUAAUCGCGAAUCAGCUAUGUCGCGGUGAAUACGUUCCCGGGUCUUGUACACACCG
rnacentral:rRNA from 1 species